AAUCAGAAACACAACAAGACAUAGGUAUAGGGUUAUUUAUCGUCGUUUUCAAGUCAUACGUUCUCUACAAUGGCGUCAGAUGUGGACAGAACGCGUAACUCGUGCUCGAUCUUAUCAAAUGAGGGUCUACAGUACGGUUCCCAAAGCCAACAUCGUUGCAUUAAGGAAUACCUAAAAAGGUCCUCCGGAUCAACUCCUGGAUGCGGGGAGCAACCAAGAGUAACCAUCUCAUAAAGAAGAUUUCCAAACGACCAUCUGAGACAAAAAGGGCAUGAACAACCAGCAGAAACAGAUGGUGGUUCAUAAUCUUCACAUAUACCUUCCAAUACACACGGGUUGUAUAAAGGACCACACGCGUUUAAUUCAGUACAACCGUCACCAAUAGGAUCUAAAAUGCAAGAUGUAAAGUUGUAACAGAAAUCUGAGCCAUGUCCCAUCUUUUGAUUGAUUAUUUCACUGAAAGAAAAAAGUUUUUUCUUACGAUUCUUGUGUAAAGAAAUACAGUCACGAUCUGGCGCUAAAGUUCACAGUUACAAAUGUAAUAAGUUCCGUGAAUCGUGCCCUGAUCUGGUGCUCAUAUAGUAGAACGUUGUUUGUAUAAUACAGUUAGGAUCUGGUGCUAUGAAAUAUGUAAUAGACAAAAUUAAGACC